rnacentral:rRNA from 2 species
UGUCUCAAAGAUUAAGCCAUGCAUGUCUAAGUAUAAGCAAUUAUACAGCGAAACUGCGAAUGGCUCAUUAUAUAAGUUAUCGUUUAUUUGAUAGUACCUUACUACUUGGAUAACCGUGGUAAUUCUAGAGCUAAUACAUGCUAAAAAUCCCGACUUCGGAAGGGAUGUAUUUAUUAGAUUAAAAACCAAUGCCCUCUGGGCUCCUUGGUGAUUCAUGAUAACUUCUCGAAUCGCAUGGCCUUGCGCCGGCGAUGGUUCAUUCAAAUUUCUUCCCUAUCAACUUUCGAUGUUUGGGUAGUGGCCAAACAUGGUUGCAACGGGUAACGGAGGGUUAGGGCUCGACCCCGGAGAAGGAGCCUGAGAAACGGCUACUACAUCCAAGGAAGGCAGCAGGCGCGCAAAUUACCCAAUCCCGAUUCGGGGAGGUAGUGACAAUAAAUACUGAUACAGGGCUCUUUUGGGUCUUGUAAUUGGAAUGAGUACAAUUUAAAUCCCUUAACGAGGAACAAUUGGAGGGCAAGUCUGGUGCCAGCAGCCGCGGUAAUUCCAGCUCCAAUAGCGUAUAUUAAAGUUGUUGUGGUUAAAAAGCUCGUAGUUGAACCUUGGGCCUGGCUGGCCGGUCCGCCUCACCGCGUGUACUGGUCCGGCCGGGUCUUUCCCUCUGUGGAACCCCAUGCCCUUCACUGGGUGUGGCGGGGAAACAGGACUUUUACUUUGAAAAAAUUAGAGUGCUCCAGGCAGGCCUAUGCUCGAAUACAUUAGCAUGGAAUAAUGAAAUAGGACGUGCGGUUCUAUUUUGUUGGUUUCUAGGACCGCCGUAAUGAUUAAUAGGGACAGUCGGGGGCAUCAGUAUUCAAUUGUCAGAGGUGAAAUUCUUGGAUUUAUUGAAGACUAACUACUGCGAAAGCAUUUGCCAAGGAUGUUUUCAUUAAUCAGGAACGAAAGUUAGGGGAUCGAAGACGAUCAGAUACCGUCGUAGUCUUAACCAUAAACUAUGCCGACUAGGGAUCGGACGAUGUUAUUUAUUGACUCGUUCGGCACCUUACGAGAAAUCAAAGUGCUUGGGCUCCAGGGGGAGUAUGGUCGCAAGGCUGAAACUUAAAG